GACGAACGCUGGCGGCGUGCUUAACACAUGCAAGUCGAACGGAAAGGCCCUGCUUUUGUGGGGUGCUCGAGUGGCGAACGGGUGAGUAACACGUGAGUAACCUGCCCUUGACUUUGGGAUAACUUCAGGAAACUGGGGCUAAUACCGGAUAGGAGCUCCUGCUGCAUGGUGGGGGUUGGAAAGUUUCGGCGGUUGGGGAUGGACUCGCGGCUUAUCAGCUUGUUGGUGGGGUAGUGGCUUACCAAGGCUUUGACGGGUAGCCGGCCUGAGAGGGUGACCGGCCACAUUGGGACUGAGAUACGGCCCAGACUCCUACGGUAGGCAGCAGUGGGGAAUAUUGCACAAUGGGCGGAAGCCUGAUGCAGCAACGCCGUGUGCGGGAUGACGGCCUUCGGGUUGUAAACCGCUUUCGCCUGUGACGAAGCGUGAGUGACGGUAAUGGGUAAAGAAGCACCGGCUAACUACGUG
rnacentral:rRNA from 1 species